rnacentral:lncRNA from 12 species
CGGGACUGCGCCCCCGGAAUGGUUCUGCUCCCGUGAACAGCCUGGGCCAGCCCAGAGAGGAGCCCCGGGCGAGGAGGGGACAGAGGGACAGAGGGGACAGAGGGGACAGAGGGGGCAGUGGGCAGUGGGAGCAGUGGGCAGUUGGGCAGUGAAGGCAGUGGUCAAUGGGUAGUGGGGGCAGUGGUCAGUGGUCAGUUGGGCAGUGGGAUCAGUUGAGCAGUUGGGCAGUGGGGGCAGUCACUGGGGGCAGUGGUCAGUUGAGCAGUUGGGCAGUGGGGGACAGAGGGGACAGAGGGGACAGAGGGGACAGAGGGGGCAGUGGUCAGUGGGAGCAGUGGGGGCAGUGGUCAGUGGUCAGUUGGUCAGUGGUCAGUGGUCAGUUGGGCAGUGGGAUCAGUUGAGCAGUUGGGCAGUGGGGGCAGUGGUCACUGGGGGUAGUGGUGAGUGGGGCAGUGGUCAGUGGGGCAGUUGGGCAGUUGGGAGGUCAGUUGGGCAGUGGUCAGCGGGGCAGUGGUCAGUUGGUCAGUGGUCAGUGGUCAGUGUGGCAGUGGGGUCAGUGGUCAGUGGUCAGUGGUCAGUGUGGUCAGUGUGGUCAGUGGUCAGUGGUCAGUGGUCAGUGGUCAGUGGUCAGUGGUCAGUGGUCAGUGGUCAGUGGUCAGUGGUCAGUGGUCAGUGGUCAGUGGUCAGUGGUCAGUGGUCAGUGGUCAGUGGUCAGUGGUCAGUGGUCAGUGGUCAGUGGUCAGUGGUCAGUGGUCAGUGGUCAGUGGUCAGUGGUCAGUGGUCAGUGGUCAGUGGUCAGUGGUCAGUGGUCAGUGGUCAGUGGUCAGUGGUCAGUGGUCAGUGGUCAGUGGUCAGUGGUCAGUGGGGGCAGUGGUCAGUGGUCAGUUGGUCAGUGGUCAGUUGGUCAGUGGUCAGUGGUCAGUGGGCAGUGGUCAGGUGGUCAGUGGUCAGUGGUCAGUGGGGUCAGUGGUCACUGGUCAGUGGUCAGUGGUCAGCUGAGCUGCCCAUCCUGGGCUGUGUCUCAGCUGCAGGAGCUGGACCUCACGUGUGCUGCGCCGGCUCCAGCACGGGGGCACCGGCUGGGAUCCUGCAGGAGCAGCAGCGAGGGGAUGGGUGGCCUGAGCCGGGGGCCGUGAGCCCAGCCAUGCUCGGGGCUUUCCUCGGCCCUUCCUGGGAAUGUCCCACCGUGCCACACGGCCCCAGAAAGCUGGGCAAGAGGAGCAGCAGCAAAGGAGAUUUUGCACAGCUUCACUUCUUGGUUCGUGAGCACUGAAGCAUCAGCUGCAGAGACCAUCCC